AGGGCUAUAGCUCAGUGGUAGAGUGCAUGCUUAGCAUGCACAAGGUCCUGGGUUCAAUCCCCAGGACCUCCA
rnacentral:tRNA from 1 species